GCCUGGCCGGUUGCCCGCAGCAUUCUACCUGCCGCAUCGGGAAAGGCUGAACCUCGAUGGAGAAGAAAAGGAGACUCCACUGUACGGAACGCUCUCCUGUGCGCAUGCUCCGAGAGAUUUCAUGCCAGGCGGAAGGCACAAGAUACUCCGAUAAUUAACUAUCAAAGGUUGAUGGAGCGCCAUGGAAAUUCACCGAAGGCUGCUAGCCAGGAGGCUCAAGAAGGAAUUGUCAAAAAGGAGAACUAUCCAGACAUUGUCUUUGCAGCCUAAACAGGAAAGAAAACUCAUAGAAUGGUGGAGUGCCUACAGCAAAGGUAAGAGUGGUAACCAUGGAGAAGCACUGCUCCAGAUGCUCAUUCUAGGAAGGAGCUGAUACCCAGGUGAAGAGGGGCUUCAGCAGACAGACUCCAGCUGUCGGUGCCUUCAGGGUCUGCUCAGGUGUGGAGAACUGCCCUGCCCGAUAUCACAGCCUUCUCAGGAUAUGAAUAGCUAUUGCAUCUCUAUGGUGGAAAUAAAUAUUAUAAAAUAGCUGUGCUACUGCCAUCUUUUCCCAGCUUUCCAUUCAGUGGGGUCAUUUUAUAGCUUGUUAUCUGCCAGAUGGGAGUAUUUACACCGUGAAAAUCGGCAAAUACUACAAAUCAAGGAGUCUAACCAGGACCAGAAGGUAGACA